rnacentral:lncRNA from 1 species
UCCCAUUGAAUAGGUGCCCGUUGAGAAGAAGGUGGGGAGAAAGAUUUGGCAUUCAAUAUUCGUCUAAGCAUCCAUGAUUGAUCGGGCUUUGGAAAUCAAUGGCAAACAUAGGUACGCAUUUAUUAUUUUGUAUUCUGAUCUUCUGCAUAUGAUCUUGGAGAAAUCCUUACAAUUGAUAUCAGAGCACAGAUUUUGAAGAGGAUUAGAAUAAAUAAAAAAAUUAUUAAAAAGAAAGGGGGAUGGAUCUCCUCAGACUGUGCCCUCUCCUCUCUUUCUUCUUGCUAGUCAGACCUCUUUCCGAUCGAAUCAAGGUCUGACGACCACCUCGGGAGCCAGCGUUGAGGGAGAUGAUAGUUUAUGACCGGAUCUAAGGAUCUGAUCAAACAAACAUAAAAAUCGUAGAAGAGGAGGGAUGGAUCUUCCCAUGCCCUUCUUCUUCUUCAUUUCUUCUCGCUGGUCGGAUCUCUCUCCGACGGGAUCCUGCUCCGACGGCGAUCCGGAAUAGCCUGCGGUGUUGGAUAGGUGUUUCCAAUCAAGAUCCCAAAUAAAUAAAAAAAAUAAAAAAAGGUGGGCGGUCCUUGCCUGUCGUCGCCCACUUUUCUCGUCUGGCAUGACGUCGCUUGCGACGAUCGAUGCAUCGGCCCCCCUUCUUUUGCACGUGCAGUUGUUCGGGAUGCCACCGCCUGUCGUAACCGAUGGCAAACUUGCAGGCGUCGAGCUUCAAGGGGAUUCGCAAAAAAAAAAGGGGAAGAAUCAGGGCCGUUGGAUCUCUGUUGGCCCACGGUUUCUCCUUAAGUGGCAGCGGCCUUCAAUUGGCCUAUUUACGCCGGUCGCCGGUCGGACCCCCUUUCUUAAUGGGUUUUGGAUUUUGAAUUUUGGGUUUAACUCAAAAUUCAAACCCGAUUUGCUGAUAUUAUGUUUUAUGACACUUUUAUAGUUUUGUCCCUGCUGUGAAAUUUAUUGAAUAAAAUUUUCUAUAUUACUAUUUAGCCCCUCCUGAAGCUUUUAAUUUUAAAAUAAUAUUUCAAAACUUCAGUUUAAUUCUUGAUAAGGUUAAUUUUUGAUGAUAGCCUUCAAAAAUUAAUUUUUUUGAUAUUUUUUUAAUUAUGUGAUGUAAUAUGCUAUUUUUUGAAAUAUUUUUUGUGGCAUAAUAGUUUAAAAAAUUAUUAUGGCAUGUGAUAGACCCUCUGAUAGUAUAUACUUUUUCUGAUUGCACGUAUAUUUUAUAUACUUUCAAUUUUUCUUUAAGAAGUUAAAUAGAUUAAAACCUAAAUUAUUUAUUUGAGUUGUACAAAUUUAUUACUGUGACUUUAGAAUGCAAUAUUAUAUUGUAAUAUGAUUUGUGGGGUAUAUAUUAUUUUGUAUCCCAUUCUGGACUUAAUCAUUUAUAAGCAUACAUGUGGUUAAAGUAUGCCGAAUUAUAUGUAUUUAGGUAUUUAUUUUUCUAUAUGGAUAAUUUUAUGGAUUGGCAUAAAUAUUUAUCAUCAAAAUAAUUUAUUUAUGUCAGUUCAUAAGAUUUUUCACGAUGAGAGGGAUAUUUUUAAGUUAUGGCAUACAAUCACCUGCGCAAAGGGGGUUAUUUUAUAUUUUAACUGAAAAUUGCAUGAAGCAUUGUGUUGUGAGGGUGCUCUAGUUUUUGAGGUCUGUUUGUCCAAAGAGAAUAGGCUUCUGAAUCCAAGGAUAUUUCUUUUUGUGGCUUCAUAUGAACAGCAUUUAUGCAUAUUGCAUAUUCUACCCAAAAGAAAAUUUAUGAUAUUGUGUUUGGGCUUUUGUUUAUUACUUAUAUUAUUUAUGCAUAUGCCCAUUGACUAAUAUUUUGCAUUCCUCCUAUUUGAUUGUACAGUCUCAUUCAGUAUGAAUAAUAAUAAUAUUGUUAUUGAGGUCUUGACUAGAUUAAAUUAUAAGAGGUGGAAGCAAGAUAUGAAAUUUGUUCUUGGGAUUGCUGAUAUUGACCUGGCAUUACGUGACAAUAAACCUGAUGAUCUCAAUGAUCAAAGUAUAUCUAAACAAAAAGAUUAUUUUACUAAAUGAGAAAAAUCUAACAUACUUAGCUUGAUAGCUAUUAAGAGGUAUGUUUUUUAGCAUCUUCUAAGUAGUCUACUAGAGACCAGUAAUACUAAAGAGUUGUUUGAUGCCAUAGGAUAAAGACAUAUUGUAUCUGAGAAAGUUGAAUCUGGAUGCCUAAUGAGAGAACUGAUGAUCAUGAGUUAAUAUAAUAUUGAGGAUAUCAGAAAAUAUAUUCUAAAAAUAGUUCAUCUCCAAACCAAGCUUAAAGAUCUUAAAAUUGAUCUAUCUAAUUCUUUUUUUAUGCCUCAUGCUUUAAAUUCAUUAUCUACUGAGUUCUCUUAGAUCAAAACUACUUAUAAUACUCUGAAUGAAACUUGAAGUAUUAAUGACUUGAUCACCAAAUGUAUUGUUGAGGAAGAGAAACUCAAGAAAGAAAAGAGUGAGAGUGCAUUUUUUUCCAUCCAAUGCAAACUCCAUUCUGGCAAGGGUCCUGUAAAUCAGAAAAAGCGUAAACCUACUACUUCUAAAUAGUCUCAGGGUGCAAAAGGACAUGGUAACAACCCCAAUCAAAAUCAUUCUAUAUAGGAGGACCUAAAGCUGUCAUAGGAAAAAAUAUCAAGUAUUUUCAAUGUAAGAAGAAAGGCCAUAUAAAGAGUCAAUGCUAUAAGUUCAAGUCUUGGAUGGUAAAGAAAGAAAAAUAAGGAGGUAAGCCCCUAGCCCUUGUUUGUUAUGAGUUAAACAUAGUCAAUAUCCCUAUUGAUUUUUGAUGGAUUGAUAGUGGUGCCACAUCUCAUGUUGUAAUUUCUUUGCAGAGGUUCAUAAGCAAGCAGAAACUAAGUCUGAAGAAGACCAGACUGAAAGUAGAAAAUGAUCUUGAGGUUGAAGUUGAAUAUAUAGGAGUUGUCAAGUUAUCUUUAAAAUCUGAUUUUGAGAUUUUUUAAAAAAACAUCUUUUAUGUACUUUUUUUUUAAAGAAAGUUGAUUUCUAUUUCUGCUUUAGAUAGGCUUGGAUUUGAUUUUAAUUUUCAUAAUGAAAAAGUUAAUUUGACAUUUGACUUUCAGAUUGUUGGUUAUGGUAUUUUGAAUGAUGGAUUAUAUAGAUUAUGUUUAGCUUGUAAUAAUCUCUAUACUUCUUUAAAUAUUGAGAACGUAGUUGUAAAGUAUUCUAGAAUCAAAUAUAGAUCCCCUAUGUUGUGGCAUAAAUGCUUAGGACAUAUAUCUAAAGAAAGAAUUGACAAAUUGAUAAAGGAUGACAUUCUAUCUGCCUUAGAUUUUGGGGAGAUGGAGACUUGCAUUGACUGUAUUAGGGGUAAAUUGACUAAGACUAAAAAGAAAGAGGCAAUUCAUAGUUCAAGUCUUUUGAAAAUAAUACACACUAACAUUAGUGGGCCAUAUUCCUCUAUAAUAUAUGGUAAUAAAUACUUCAUAACAUUUAUUGAUAAUUUUUUUUAAAAUAAUUAUCUUUAUUUAAUUAAAAAAAUUAGAUGAUCUUGAAAAAUUUUAAAUUUUUAAAAUUGAAAUUGAAAAAUAAUUAAAAAAAAUCAUCAAGAUUGUGAGAUCUGACCGUGGGGGGUGAGUAUUAUGACAAACAUGAUAUAGCAGAUAGCAUAUGGGUCUGUUUGCCAAGUACUUACAAAAUUAUGGAAUUAUUGUCCAGUACAUCAUGCCUGAUAGCCCUGAGCAGAAUGAUGUGGUCGAAAGGAUAAUCAUACCCUUAAAGAUAUGAUGAGAAACAUAAUAAGUAGGCCUAACUUGUCAGAAUAUCUGUGGGAUGAGGCUUUUAAAAUUGUCUUAUACAUUUUUAAUAAAGUUUUCAAUAAAUCUGUGCCUAAAAUACCUUUCAAAUUUUGGACUGGUAGAAAAUCUAGCUUAAAUCAUUUUUGAGUUUGGGGUGGUUCUGCAGAAGUAAGAAUAUAUAAACUGAUAGAGAAAAAGACUAAUCCUAGAACCAGUCAUUGUUAUUUCAUUGAGUAUCCAAAAUGUGCUAAAGGAUAUGGUUCUAUAGUUCUGGGAGAGGUAAUAGAAUUAUAAAGUCACAGAUUACAAAAUUUCUAAAACUUGAUGCGGCUGAUGUUGAACCUUUCCAGACUGUUGAUAUUAACAGUAGUCAGGUUGAGACUGUCUCUAUUCUUGUGUCUGCAUCAUAUGAAAAUAUUGUUCUUGCACCUAUUGAUAGAGUGGAUAUUCAGACCCCUGAUCCUAUUGUUCCUAUUGAAAAUCUUCAACCAGUUCAACUUAUUAAGGAGGUGCCAUUAAGAAUAUCUAUUAGACAGAGAAGACCUACUAUUCCUGAUGAUUUCUUUAUCUAUCUUGGGAAAAAUGACUAUAACAUUGGACAUAUGGUUGAUCCAGUAACAUAUCAUGCUACCAUGAGCUGUCCUCAAUCUGAUUUAUGAAGAGAUGCUAUGAAAGAGGAAAUGCAGUCUAUGACCAGCAAUGAAGUAUGGGAGCUUGUUGAGCCUCCUAAUAAUUAUAAAUCUAUUGGGUGCAAGUGGGUGUACUAGACUAAGAAAGAUUCUAAAAGAAGAAUUGAGCAUUUCAAGGCUAGAUUGGCUGCCAAAGACUUUAUGCAGAGAGAAGGAAUUGACUACACUAAAAUUUUCUCUCCAGUAUCCCCAAAGAAUUCCUUUAGAAUCAUCAUGGCUAUAGUGACCCAUUAUGACUUGGAGCUUCAUCAAAUGGAUGUUAAAACUACUUUUCUGAAUGAUAAUCUCAGUGAGAAAGUGUAUAUAAAAUAUCCUGAGGGUUUUCAAAAAAAAUGGGAGAGAGCAUUUAGUUUGCAAAUUGAAGAAGUCUAUUGACGGCUUAAAAAGCAUCUUGGCGAUGGUACUUAAAAUUUGAUGAGGUGGUAACCUCUUUUUGACUUUGAGAAAAAUAAGAUUGAUCAGUGCAUCUAUUUCAAAAUCAGUGGGAGCAAGUUUAUCUUUUUUGUUUUAUAUAUUGAUGACAUCUUGCUUGCUAGUAGUGAUUUCGAUUUGCUUAGUGAGACUAAAUAAAUGUUAUCUAGGACUUUUGAUAUGAAAGAUCUUGGAGAGGCAUCUUUUAUCCUAGGUAUUUAAAUUCAUAGAGAUAGAUCACGUCAUUUGUUGGGUUUGUCAUAAAAGUCAUACAUUAACAAAAUUCUUGAAAGAUUUAAUAUGCAAAAUUGCAAACUAUGUGAUACAACUGUUGCCAAGGGUGACAAGUUUAGUAAAGAUCAAUGCCUUAAUAAUGAGCUUAAGAAAAAUUAGAUGAAGAAUAUACCUUAUGUUAGUACUAUAAGGAGUCUGAUGAUGCUUAGGUUUGCACCAGAUCUGAUAUUGUCUUCAUAGUGGGAGUUUUUGGUAGAUAUCUAUCAAACCUAGGCUUCCAACAUUGGAUUGCUGCAAAGAGAGUGAUGAGGAUAUAUUUUUAUAUUGACUGGAGGUACCGUAGCCUGAAGGAGUGUUAAAUAGACUCUGACUACUUUCACUGUACAAGCUGAAUUUAUUGCCUGUUAUGGGGCUACUACUCAAGCUAUUUGGCUGAAAAAUUUUAUUGCAGGGUUGAGGAAUGUUCAUUCUACAAUGGACCAUUGAUAAUCUAUUGUGAUAAUAGAGCUACUGUAUUCUUUACAAAGAAUAAUAAAUCUUCUAAUAGAUCUAAAUAUUUAGAGCUGAAGUAUCUGAUAGUAAGAGACCUUGUGAAAAAAGGGGACGUAACUGUUGAGCAUAUAGAUACAGAGUCCAUGUUGGCUAAUCCUUUGACUAAGGAUUUGAGGCCCAUAUGCUUUAUAAGGCAUGUUGAAAAUAUGGACAUAUUGAGUUCUUUUGAUGUACUUGGUUACUGAGAGUGACUUUGUAUAUAUAUUUAUUAAUAUUUUAUUGUUAUGGAUAUUUUUCAUCUCAUAUUCUUAUGAUGAAUAUUGAUAUAUAUUAUUGACAUGAUAAAUUGAUGAUAUAUUUAUAUUAAUUUUUUUGGUUAUAUAUACAUAUUUGUGUUAAUACACUAGGAGAUAUUUUGUUUAUGUACUUAUUAUAUGAAGUAUAAGAUCAGGUGUCGAGUCUCAGAUAUGUUGUACUGGCUCAUCAUUGACACCAUAUUGAGUAUGUGAGACAGAAUGGCUUGUUGUUGAAGUCAUUAAAAUUUUUCUUACUUCUUAUGUAUCCAAGCAUGUUGAAGAAAAAUUUGAGGACUGACAAUGCAAAUAACAUAUGUUUAGAUCACUUUUAGAUAUUAUUUUCUUACUACACUACCACAACAAGACUUAUGUCGAUAGUGUUAGUGAUGUUCGUAACUAUGGAUAGAUCUUAUAUCAAAAAAAGGAUAUAAUGACUCCUAUGAUUUAGCAUGAUUGACACUAUUGGACCGAGUCAAUUCUAAGAUACUGUCCAUAGAUCAUAUAUUUUUCAAAAAUCGUGGCUACGUACUGUGUUUUCUAUUAUUCAGCCCGAGAGUCAUUUUCAAAAUAAAAUAUUUUUAAAAUUUUAAAAUCAUAAUUAAUGUUGCCCAAGUGGGAGAAUAUGAAAAUUUUUUUGAUUAUAGACUGUCAUUAAUUAUUUAUUCUAUUUUAUUAAAAUGGGCUAAUUAUAUGAUCCGGGUUGAUGGACAUGCAUGUAAGUCCAUUAUUGUCGGUGAUCCAUAUGUUUUGAGCUAUGCGGGCCUUAUGUUGGAUGGUGUGGUUGGGGCGAUAUAAUGUAAGCCUAAACCUAAUUUAAGACCAUGAUGGAAGGGCUUGUUAGAGUUUGUUUUAGAUUUAGUUAGGUCUGCUUUCUAUUUUUUAUAAAUACCUUGAGACUAGUUCUCAGACUUGUCUCAUCGAAUAGUCGCUUGUUGAGAGAAAGUUGGGGAGAAAGAUUUGGUCUUCGAUGUUCGUGUGAGCAUCCGUGAUUGGUCGAGCUUUGGAAAUCAAUGAUGAACACAGAUACGUAUCUAUGAUUUUAUAUUCUAAUCUUUUAUAUAUGAUCUUAAAGAAAUCUCUACAUCCCUGCUCUUGGACAAUCUAAACAUAACAAGAAAACUCAUUUAAUUUUAUCAUUUUAUCUUUUAUAAUUUAUCUUAAGGUCUGCAUCUAAUACACAAGGAUCAAAGGAAUACAUAUGCAUGCUCGUUAUAUAAUAUAAUCCAGUCUCAGUAUAUUCCAGGUUAGAGACUGUUAUCAGCACUUGCCCCAAAGUAGCGGUAGGGCCCUCCACAUCAUUUAGCAAUCCAUCACACAAUGCCUCGUAACACUGGCAUAAUAAUUCAUAAACUACGGGAGCGUUAAGAGGGGAUCUAAACAUAUGCGACCUCCAAAACAAAGGAGGUGCACAGCGGAUGGUCACGUUACCAAGUCAUCCGAUUUGAAGGUCCAUAUGAUACGAAUGUACUUAUUUGUACUCAAAAGGCCUAUUUACGUCCUCUAACUUCGCACCAUCCGAUAUAUCAUAAUUUGGAUCUGGUAAAUUAGGGUGGAGUUAAAUGCCGUCCAAAGUCUGCACACUUUUUCAUCCAUCCUACUAUCAGGUUAAAACUUCCUUACGUUUGGAUGCUUCCUGUUCCUUUUAUCUUCAAAAUACCUUCCAGACGUUUUCUUAUCAGAUUUUAUGGUCAUUGUUGCCGCUCAAAAUCUGAUGUGACAUGUGGACAAGCCAUUUUGCUCAGUUGAGUUGGAUGAUCAUAGCAUGGUGUUGGAAUUGUUCUACAAUCCCAGAAAAAGAUCAGGAAGUCACCGGAACAUGUUUGAUUAAAGAUUCUCCAAAGUUUAAGUAUUCAGACGGAAGAGAGAGAGAGAAAUUUAAGAGUAUGGCAUUCAGAUUUCUUUUCGUACUUAAAGUUCCUACAUUUCAUAUUUAUAAAAGAGACGAUAUGAAACUGCAUAAUUAGGAUCACAAAAUCGAUGAAUGAGUAGUUGAACUCUUUCCAUAUCCACCGGUCGAAAAGAUAAAAAUAUUUUUUUUUGAAUAUAUUAUGAUCGGAUGCUUUUCUUAUUUGCUAAUCUAGCCGGUUACAAUAUUCUUUUUCGGACGUAUUGAGAUUAUAUUAAGCAAUAAAAAGAUCAUGCUAAUUAUUUAGAGAUUUAAUUAGCUAUUAAUUUAGUUGAACAUGUGUCAUCAUUGGGUUGAUGGGUUGAGAUACUAGGUGAGAUUUUAAAGGUGACAAAUCUGACCAAUACCAAUCAUGAUAUAACCUAAGGACCUCAGUUAAUGUCUCCCCUCUAAAUCCAUGUCGCGUUGCCCCACAUUAUUUUUUAGAAAACAAAUGCAAAGAUUUUUCUUUUUUAAUUCCUAUCCAGAUUCGAGGAGCAAGAGUCCUGCUUAACAAAUCGCUCUCCAUAUUCUCUAUUUUAUAGGAGACAAUAGACUCAACAUGACAUUUUCCUAGACUGUCAGGCUUUCUGAAAAUAUAUGUAUAUUUUUUCUUUUUUUGGCAUCCUUGCUUCAUCUCUCAUAUGCAUCACACAUACCAAUGACUAGUUUAUACUUAGAUUGACAUACUCUAUGUAUUUAUACAUCGCCAUAUCUAGUGUACCAAUCUAAUGUGGACUUAGCUUGUCGGACACUUCUAGAAGUGGAAAGAAAAUAUAACCAAGAAGAAGGGUUUAAGGUUAGGCAUCUAAAUAAAGUGAGAGGAGAGGGAAUCAAAAAGGAGAUCAAAGUAUAAUAAAACAUGAACUUACUGUUAGCUCUAAUUUUUCCUCCUUUUAUUUCAUCUCCUAACCAUGAAUUCCAUGAUCUUGCUAAUCAUUUAAAUAAAUUCUUUCCAUGUAGCCCUGGCUUAGACCUUUGUACUUAUUAGAGGUCCUGAGCUCAAUUUUGACAGCAUAUCCAUCAUAAGAAUUCAAAUUUGCAUCUAUGAUCUCAGUACUACUACCAUAGGAGUUUGGAGUUGGGUUUAGGGGCAUGUCCAAGCCUUGAUGAACUCUUAGGGUUGGUGCCCCAAGCAAAGUUGAUUCGGUUAUGAAACUUUGGUACCAAAAUCAACUUAUUUUGGAUGGCUUUGAGCAAGCCGGCAAUUCUAGAUCAAAAAGCUAUCACUGGUCCAUUCCUAUGAAAGAGAUAAGAGGUUAAAAGGGUUAAGAAAACUAAAAUAACAUCUUAAUAGUUGUUAUUUCGAUGAAAAGCAUAAGGAAAAACAUCAAAAGCUAUUAAAAAAGCUUGACAUUAUGUUGAAUCAUGGGAGAAACCACUUGGAAACAUCUGCUCUGAAUCUACUGGACAAAAAAAAAGAAAAAAUCUUUAUCUAUACUUAUAGUAAAAUUUCGUUUUUGUCGCAUAUGUGCCGUUGGGUCAAGAAAGGAUACGUGUUGUGUAAUUAAUAGGGGGUGGGAUCUCACUUUUAUACUCGUUAUUUACUAGAUGCGACUACUUACAGGCUAUAUAAAGUGUAUCCUUUCUCACUUGAAAUUAGCACAUGUAACAAAUGUGAGAGAUAGUAUGCAUGGUUAUAAUCUUCCUUCUAAAUAGAGAUUUUGUAUGAUUCAUAUAACUUAAUUAGCAUAUCGGUAGAAGGUGCACUUCCUUUAUUUGUACAUCUUAAAACUAAACUAAGCAUACAUCUUAUCUAAUGGGAAUAAUUAUAUUGUUUUGUAAUCAUAAUAUUUUAAGACCAAGCUUCUGCAUGCACCUGAUAGUUUGAGUCUAAUAGUAAAAUAGAUAUUUUUUUGCUAAUGUAAGAUUUGUCAUUUCAUUUUGGUUAAGCUGCUUUCCUUUUUACAUGUGUCAUUUUAGUUUCCCCUAUUUUUCUUGAUGAAAUUAUUUCUUGUCUCUACUACUGCCAAAUACUCUACUAUGCGAUGGAAUCGCAACUUAUUAGUAAAUAAAGACUCCUAUGAUCUAUUUUUUAUAUUUGUUGUGCAUCCAAAUGCUUCACAAAACUCACAAUAUUGUUGCUUUGCUUUUACAUUAUUGCUUUGCUUUGCUUUUCCUUUGUACAUUUGAAUUAGGAGUACCUUUUGAUUAAAUCCUCAUUUAUUUUUGAUUGAGGGCUAUUCCUUAUCUAUAUUGCCUCCGUGGAUAUUAAGAUUCAAUUUUUUUCUACUUGAAGCAAAUGAGCCAUCCAUGAUGGACUCAAAGAACGAGGCCCGUAUCCAAGCCCAUGUUGCCACUUUAAGCCUCAAAAAGGGAGGCACAUGAUUUGCAGUUUUGUAGAGCAAAAAUUGCUCACGUAGUAGAAGUUAUUUUUUUUAAUUUUAUAUUUAUAUAAAGAGGGGCACCACUUAUGGUGGUUAUCUCAUCUGAUUGUGAAGAUACAACUCUUGUGUAUGUAGGGAGAAACAAAAGAAAUUGAAAACUCUUCUUCGAUGCCUUAAGUGGGUGUUGCUCUUUUUUUCUCAAAUUAAUUCUAGUGGAGUACACUACAAUUUGAGGAAACUUUAGAUUAUGAAUAUAUGAUUAUGGUUUGUUUUAUGUAAUCAUAAUUGAAACUAUGUGAUACAAUAGGUUGAGUUUUAAGGGUGUUUGCAUGCAACCUUGAAUUUAUUCAUGGUUCAAAAAUCUUACAUUGGUAUCAGAGCC